rnacentral:rRNA from 1 species
UACGUAGGGUGCAAGCGUUAAUCGGAAUCACUGGGCGUAAAGCGCGCGUAGGCGGUCUGUUAAGUGGGAUGUGAAAUCCCCGGGCUUAACCUGGGAAUUGCAUUUCAAACUGGCCGACUAGAGUACGGUAGAGGGAGGUAGAAUUUCCUGUGUAGCGGUGAAAUGCGUAGAUAUAGGAAGGAAUACCAGUGGCGAAGGCGGCCUCCUGGAUCGAUACUGACGCUGAGGCGCGAAAGCGUGGGGAGCAAACAGG